rnacentral:tRNA from 3 species
AGGGGUAUAGUGUCAAUGGUUAGCACGAUGGUCUCCAAAACCACAAGUCUGAGUUCGAGUCUUAGUACCCCUGCCA